GACGAACGCUGGCGGCGUGUUUAACACAUGCAAGUCGAGCGGAGCGGCGAACGGGUGAGUAACGCGUGAGUAACUGCCCCCCUCUCUGGGGUAACAGUUGGAAACGGCUGCUAAUACCGGAUAGUGGGGGAUGACUCGCGUCCUAUCAGCUUGUUGGUGGGGUAGUGGCAUACCAAGGCGACGACGGGUAGCCGGCCUGGGAGGGCGACCGGCCACAAUGGGCUGCGAUACGGACCAGAGUCCUACGUGAGGCAGCAGUGGGGAAUAUUGCACAAUGGGGGAACCCGUGAUGCAGCAACGCGCGGGCGGGAUGACGGCCUUCGGGUUGUAAACCGCUUUCAGCCAUGACGCGUUAGUGGCAGAAGAAGCACCGGCUAACUACGUGCCAGCAGCCGCGGUAAUAC
rnacentral:rRNA from 1 species